rnacentral:rRNA from 1 species
GACGAACGCUGGCGGCGUGCUUAACACAUGCAAGUCGAACGGAAAGGCCCUGCUUUUGUGGGGUGCUCGAGUGGCGAACGGGUGAGUAACACGUGAGUAACCUGCCCUUGACUUUGGGAUAACUUCAGGAAACUGGGGCUAAUAUCGGAUAGGAGCUCCUGCUGCAUGGUGGGGGUUGGAAAGUUUCGGCGGUUGGGGAUGGACUCGCGGCUUAUCAGCUUGUUGGUGGGGUAGUGGCUUACCAAGGCUUUGACGGGUAGCCGGCCUGAGAGGGUGACCGGCCACAUUGGGACUGAGAUACGGCGCAGACUCGUACGGGAGGCAGCGGUGGGGAAUAUUGCACAAUGGGCGGAAGCCUGAUGCAGCAACGCCGCGUGCGGGAUGACGGCCUUCGGGUUGUAAACCGCUUUCGCCUGUGACGAAGCGUGAGUGACGGUAAUGGGUAAAGAAGCACCGGCUAACUACGUG